AGGCUCAAACAAGUAAUACAUCUACAUAGCACAGUAACCUGUUUACGCAAAAGCUUGACUCUUUGUUCAUUUUUUUUGUUAAGAGCAAUUUUACUAAAUUUUUCUUUAAAGAUUUUGUAACAACCUCAAUGAAAUUGGAGAGUAAAAUCUUUCCAUCUUGUCUAUGUGGCUGCAGUAUUUGCUUGAAAUGAUGAUGACUCAUUCGGAUGACCUGAGAAAGCCUCUUUGUUCUUAAUGUAAAAGGUUGCGGGAUGUUUAGAAGUACUGCAAUUUCUCCAGCCAUAUCCGAAGAUCCUAGCUUUGUCAAAAGCUGGCAAAACACACAACAUCAGUCAUGAUGAUAUGAUAUGAUACAUACUUGUUUAAGUUUGUCACAACAAACAGUUCAAUGCAUCUAUUAAGUUCUUGCUGGAAGAACAUAGAAAAGGUUCCCUUUUUUUGUGUGGACAAAGUGUAGAUGGCAUUUCAGAGGUUUUUACUGUGGUCUGUUGCCUCAUCCUUUAGACACUGUAAAAACUGUUAGCAAUCUUAGAUAUCAACUCGAUGCAAAUUGAGAAUUAGUGAAAGUUACCUGCUCUGUACCAUUUUUGUAAACUAGCACCUCCUGCAGGUUUUAUAUAGCAGUAUGCAUUAUUUUAGAACA